rnacentral:rRNA from 1 species
AUGUAUUCGCUCUAAGAAAUUUUUAUCUCGUGUUGUAGUAGUAGUUAAGGUAAACUAGAACUAGCUCUAUUUUAUACACGUAGUCGAAACUGAAAGGUUGAUCGAUCACAAUGUGGCCUGAACAAAGCCCAUGACAAUUGUAGCAGCAGUGAGGAAUAUUGGUCAAUAGCCUAACGGCUGAACCAGCAACUUGGAGGAAUGUAAAGCAAUUGCUGAUUGCAUUUAAUUAUUUUAAUUUAUUUUAAUUUAAUCUAAUGUAAUUACUACUUGGUAGUUUAAAUUUCUAGGUAGAAUUUGAUGAUGACAUUUUCUAUCUAUAUGUCUUGACCAAAUUACGUGCCAGCAGUCGCGGUAAUACGUAGAAGACGAGUGUUAUUCAUCUUUAUUGGGUUUAAAGAGUACCAAGACGGUUAAUAAAGCCCAAAAAACAUGAACACGGGGGACACAUUGACUAGAGUUAUAUGAAAAGAAGCUGUAAAGUACUGUUUGUAUAGAGUUGACAUUCUUUUAUACUAGAUAAUUGGCACAGAUUAAUGCGAAGGCAUCUUCUUAUGUAAUAACUGACGUUGUAGGACGAAGGCUUUUGAAGUGAGCGGGAUUAGUCACCCCAGUAAUCUAAGCAGAAAAUGAUGAAUGUCAUAGGUUAAAUAGCAGUAAACAAAGUAGCACUGCAAUACAUUUGGUCUAUAAAUGAAAGUGUAAGCAUUCCACUCAAGAGUAAUUUGGCAACAUUGAAACUGAAAUCAUUAGACCGUUUCUGAAACCAGUAGUGAAGUAUGUUGUUUAAUUAGAUGAUACACAAAAAACCUUACCACCAUUGAUUUAUGUUUGAAAAAAUACUAUCUCAAUUUAUACUUGAAUAAUAUUUUUAAAGAUAUAUACAAGCGCUGCACGGCUGUCUUCAGUUAAUGUCGUGAGACUGUGGUUAGUUCCACAAAAUUAACGUAAACCCUCACUUUAUUUAUAAAUAAAGUUUCAAUCGAAAUAUAUUA